GGAACCGACACGGGGUGCCGCGCACCAGGCCCGGCUGAGAUCCACACCCGUUGAACCUGUCCGGUUAGUACCGGCGAAGGGAUGUCUCUUUUGUCUACG
rnacentral:ncRNA from 2 species